AUACUUACCUGGCAGGGGAGAUACCAUGAUCACGAAGGUGGUUUUCCAAGGGAGGGGCUUAUCCAUUGCACUCCAGAUGUGCUGACCCCUGCAAUUUCCCCAAAUGUGGGAAACUCGACUGCAUAAUUUGUGGUAGUGGGGGACUGCGUUCACGCUUUCCCCUG
ensembl:snRNA U1 U1 spliceosomal RNA